rnacentral:misc_RNA from 1 species
GAUGAAGAACGUAUCGAAAUGCGAUAAGUAGUGUGAAUUGCAGAAGUACCGUGAAUCAUCGAAUCUUUGAACGCAAAUUGCACUCUCUGGUAUUCCGGGGAGUAUGCCUGUUUGAGGGUCGCUUAACAAACCAUCGAUUUCGUUGCUUUUUUUUUAAAAAAGUGAUGUUUAUCGGAUUUGAGCCGUCUUUUUUUUUUUAUAUUUAAGUGGCUUAAAAUUGAUUUUUUUUGGUACGAUCGAAGCGUAUUUUUAUGAUCAAUUUUUGGUUAAAGAAACGCACACGUACCGUUAUUUAUAUGAUGUAAUACGUUUGACUAUCGGAUUUAGUUCAUUCGUAUACGAUAUUUUUCAAUAUUUGACCUCAAAUCAGGUAAGAACACCCGCUGAACUUAAGCAUAUCAAUAAGCGGAGGA